ACCCAGGUGAGAUGUCUCAGUUGGUAGAGCAUGAAACUCUUAAUCCCAAGGUUCGUGAGUUUGAGUCCCAGCUUGGGCA